GUUGCUGCAAAAGACAUUAUUUUGUCACGCCUGUAAUCCUAGCACUUUGGGAGGCGGAGGUGGGCGGAUCACAAGGUCAGGAGAUCAAGACCAUCCUGGCUAACACGGUGAAACCCCGUCUCCACUAAAAGUACAAAAAAAUUAGCUGGGCAUGGUGGUGGGCGCCUGUAGUCCCAGCUACUUGGGAGGCUGAGGCAGAAGAAUGGCGUGAACCCGGGAGGCAGAGCUUGCAGUGAGUCGAGAUCAUGCCACUGCACUCCAGCCCGGGUGACAGAGCGAAACUCCAUCUCAAAAAAAAAAAAAAAAAAAAGACAUUAUUUUGUUCCUUUUUAUGGCUGAGUAGUAUUCCGUGGUGUAUAUAUACCACGUUUCUAAAAUCCACUUAUUGGUUGAUGGGCGUUUGGGUUGGCUCCAUAUUUUUGCAAUUGUGAAUUGUGCUGCUAUAAACAUACAUGUGUAUGUGUCUUUUUCACAUAAUGACUUCUUUUCCUUUGGGUAGAUACCCAUAUUUCAAUUUUUUAAAAAAGAGUUGGAGGAGGUGAGUAGAUUGAUAUCACAUCUGUGCUGAGGUCCCCUAGACUUGCAGGGGGAAGGAAAGGGGUUGAUAGGGAGACUCCUGAAGAGUAUGACAGGCGAUGGGGGCACCUUACUCAGUGGCUGCGUAGUGGCCAGGCCCCCAAAUCAGGCCUGCAGAAUAGAAAAGGGAAGGGAGAGCAUUGGGCUGGAAGAUGUUGGUGCAGCUUGGAUAUUCUUUCUGCAUUCUUACUGGACGUUUUGGCGUAAGUGGCAUUCCAGCUUCCUUUGAAUUUGGAUGAGGAAGAACAGGAAGGAAGGAAGGAGGGGAGGAGGGAUCAUCUGUCAAGUGAUUAGCAGAAAUAGCUUUUUGUACUUUACAGAAUCUCACUCAUUUUUAAAAUUUAAAUUUACUUAAAUGGUGAUGUAGAAUGAACCAUGUGCCAGGCACUGCUCUAAGCACAUUGCAUGAGCUGACUCCUUUAUUCUUCUGACAAGUAGCAAGGUAGCUACUUUUCUUACUUCCCCUUUUACACACAAAGGAAUUAAGGAACUGAGAGCUUGAUGAUUUUUUCACACAGCUGAUGAGAGGCAGAGCAGAGAUCCCAACCCAGGCCCCAGAGCCCACUCUCUUAAGGGCGGUGCUAUGCUGUUGUUCAUUCAUUCAUCCUGUAAAUGUCUAUUGAGUGUGGACUAUGUGCUAGGCAUUUUGCAAAGCACUGCAAAUUCAGGGAUAUCAGCGGCUGAUGACCCUAUUUCAGUAGUUGUGAUGUAUGAAGCAAUAAAAUAGGCCCACCUGAGUGCUAGUUGGGAGGUUCUAUGAUUAUUGCACUUUACAAAUGAAAGAGGGGUUACCCAGCCUGGAAUUGGGCAAGUCUGGGUGGGAAUUCAGGGCUAUUUAGCUCCAGCCUCCCAUCUCCAGAUGCUAAUUGUGUCAAUAUGGAUUUUCCAGGAUGGGGACCCGUAAGAGGCAGCCCUGCUUGGUCCCUGCCUGCCCCACUGUGGCCCUGCAGCUGUGGGCUCUGGGCUUUGGACCAUCUCCUUUUCUGAGCAGGCAGGCUUGGAUGUCCUCUCCAGCCACCUGGCAGAAGGGCUGUAACUGAAUCCUUCUGUGGCCUUGUGUUCCUGAGAGCACCAAACCAUGUGUUUGUUUAGCAGGGAGAGGCUCAGGUCUCAUUUGUGGGUGGUCAAGCCAACUGUAGGGACAGGAGCCGGCAGCUGAGGCUCUUAGGCAGGGACAAAACUAGUGGUGUGAGCUGGUUUCCAACACAGAAAGGUCCCGUCAGCUGUUUGAUCCCGUAGGACCUUGGGAGGUAUGAAAGGCACAGGGGCUGGGCCCUGUUUGGUCUCUGCCAGGGCCUCUCCCAGGGCAGGGUGCCUGCGGCCCACAGUUUCUCAAGGUCACAGCAAUGUUUAACAAGGAAAGAAAAUAAAUGUAAUUAUUCCAGAAUACAAAAAGAAACCUGCAGGCCCAGGUGCAGUGGCUCACGCCUGUAAUCCCAGCACUUUGGGAGGCUGAGGCAGGCAGAUCCCUUGAGGUCAGGAGUUCGAGACCAGCCUGGCCAACAUGGUGAAACCCCAUCUCUACUAAAAGUACAAAAAUUAGUUGGGUGUGGUGGUGGGUGCCUGUAAUCCCAGGUACUUGGGAGGCCGAGGCAGGAGAAUCGUUUGAACCCAGGAGGCGGAGGCGGCAGUGAGCUGAGAUCGUGCCAUUGCACUCCAGCCUAGGCGAAAGAGUGAGACUCCGUCUCAAAAAAAAAAAAAAAAAAAAAAAGGAAAAAAAAAGAAAAGAAAAAGAAACCUGCAGAGUUAAAAUGAACACAUGCUGAAUUAAAUGCCUACCAAGGGCAACUUCAUGCCAGGCUGUCAUCUGGACCUCAACUGUGAUGAGCUCAUGUAUAUGUAAAUCACGGAAAGUGGAUGCAUUUUAAUGUGUGUGAUGUGAUUGACAUGGGUAGAGCCCAGGACCUGUGAAGGCCUCACAACCAUCCUGCGAAGAGAGGUGCUCUAUAACCUUCCGGGGCUCCCUGGUCCCUUCUAGGUAAGGUCCCUCUCCACUUGGCAGGCGUUUGAAUUUUAUUCAGCCAGUGUUUUUAUUUUAUUUAUUUAUUUAUUAUUAUUAUUUUUGAGAUGGAGUCUCUGUCGCUCAGGCUGGAGUACAGUGGCAUGAUCUCGGCUCACUGCCACCUCCUCCUCUCAGGUUCAAGCAAUUCUCAUGCCUCAGCCUCCCGAGUAGCUGGGAUUACAGGUGCGCACCACCACGCCUGGCUAAUUUUUUGCAUUUUUAGUAGAGACAGGGUUUCACUAUGUUGUCCAGGCUUGUCUUGAACUCCUGGCCUCAAGUGAUCCACCUGCCUCGGCCUCCCAAAGUUCUGGGAUUAGAAGCGUGAGCCACCGCGCCCGGCUCCAACUUCAUUCUGUUG
rnacentral:lncRNA from 1 species